rnacentral:rRNA from 1 species
ACUCCUACGGGAGGCAGCAGUGGGGAAUAUUGCGCAAUGGGCGAAAGCCUGACGCAGCGACSCCGCGUGAGGGAUGAAGGCCUUCGGGUUGUAAACCUCUUUCAGCAGGGAAGAAGCGCAAGUGACGGUACCUGCAGAAGAAGCACCGGCUAACUACGKGSCAGCAGCCGCGGUAAUACGUAGGGUGCGAGCGUUGUCCGGAAUUAUUGGGCGUAAAGAGCUCGUAGGCGGUUUGUCGCGUCUGCUGKGAAAACGCGGGGCUCAACUCCGCGCCUGCAGUGGGUACGGGCAGACUAGAGUGCAGUAGGGGAGACUGGAAUUCCUGGUGUAGCGGUGGAAUGCGCAGAUAUCAGGAGGAACACCGGUGGCGAAGGCGGGUCUCUGGGCUGUAACUGACGUUGAGGAGCGAAAGCGUGGGUAGCGAACAGGAUUAGAUACCCUGGUAGUCCACGCCGUAAACGUUGGGCGCUAGGUGUGGGCCUCAUUCCACGAGGUCCGUGCCGCAGCUAACGCAUUAAGCGCCCCGCCUGGGGAGUACGGCCGCAAGGCUAAAACUCAAAUGAAUUGACGG